rnacentral:rRNA from 1 species
UACGGGGGGAGCAAGCGUUGUUCGGAUUUACUGGGCGUAAAGGGCGCGUAGGCGGCCACCGCAAGUCGGUUGUGAAAUCUCUGGGCUUAACCCAGAAAGGUCAACCGAUACUGCGGGGCUAGAGUGCAGAAGGGGCAACUGGAAUUCUCGGUGUAGCGGUGAAAUGCGUAGAUAUCGGGAGGAACACCGGUGGCGAAGGCGGUUCUCUGGGCCUGUACUGACGCUGAGGAGCGAAAGCGUGGGGAGCGAACAGG